UACCAGCACCCCGAGUGGUCGGGACGUUUAUUGGGCCUAAAGCAUCCGUAGCCGGUUCUACAAGUCUUCCGUUAAAUCCAACUGCUUAACAGGUGGGCCUGCGGAAGAUACUAUAGAGCUAGGAGGCGGGAGAGGCAAGCGGUACUCGAUGGGUAGGGGUAAAAUCCGUUGAUCCAUUGAAGACCACCAGUGGCGAAGGCGGCUUGCCAGAACGCGCUCGACGGUGAGGGAUGAAAGCUGGGGGAGCAAACCGG
rnacentral:rRNA from 1 species